CCCCCCUUAGGGUUGCACCUGAAGAGUUUCCAGUACUCUACCAGUCUUGGCUUCGGAAGGGAGAGUCAAGCAGAGGCCUACCCAUUCCAUGCCUAGCUUGGCCAGUGGCUAGAGAAUGGAAGCCAAUCUGCUACAAGU